UUUCUUGCAUUGUUUUCGUGAGUGAUGAUUAUCAAGACAAGAAAAAUAUUUAAGGAUCAUUUAGUAUUUGCUAAAGAAGUUUAUAUUGUUGAUUGAUUGUUUUUGUUUCUGAAAAUAUCCUACGAACAAUAAUAUAGUAAAUAGUGAUGAAAAAGAUAUAAUCCGAGAAAUCAUAUAACCUAAAAAAAAAGGCGAGAAAAAAGAGAGAAAAGGUUGUGGGUUUCAUCCUUUCCGGCGGCCUCCACAGCGCUGUGAGAGGAGUGUGUAGCUCUAGGGUUUCCUUGUUUUCUGUGUGUAGUUUCUUCUGGGCAAGUGUUUUACAAUCGUGAUUUAAGGUGAGGAGGGGUGAAAAGAUUUGUUUUGAGCGCCGGUGAUAUCUCUUGCUGUCUUCGGAGUUGAUUUGGAGUCUUGGUUCAGAUCUAGUACGGCGAGCUUGUGAUUUGGAGCUCUCCCCUUCGAUUCAGAUCUGGGUUUGUUACCUAGGGUUUGGUCGUUUUGGUACUGUAGUAAUUUUUGGCCGCUGAUUUUGAUCUUUUGAUUCUCUUUUUGUGCUCUUCAUCUCUUGUUCCUGUUUCGUUGGAGGUCUAUAGUGAUGGCUUGUCCUUGUUUUUCUUGUUUGCUCGGUAGUUUGUUUGAGCCUUGUUUCUCUGUCAUGAGAAUGUGUUCAAUGGCAAUAUAGAGCUUGGACUUCAGGUGCAGUCUCCUUUUCCUAUUGUGGUAGUAGCAGUGUUCUCUUGUCGGUUCAGGAGGGUCAAAAAUGCGUUCCAGCCGUAUUGAGAGUUAUGUGGAGCGUGAAGCGCUCAGGCUUGUCGGGUUGUGAAGUCAUGGUUUUAGGUUUCUAGUUGGGGAUGGUAUCGUUUGACCGGCCAUAGACGGUAGCGAUAGAUCCGGGAUGAGAAGACUCGGUGUCUUCGGUUCUAGAAGUGGAAGGUAUCGUACGACGAGCUAAGGGCAGCUGCGAUAUAUCCAGAUCAUUGCUAUCUAGUACGUGGCAACAUUGGUUAUGCUGAAUCGUCCUUUACCUUUGUGUAGCUCGUUUUUGUUGGUUAUGUUUUAGCUGCGGUUCCUAGCUUAGGUUUCGUUCCGUGUUUAUGUUGUAUUUGAAAGUUGUCCUAGUGUGGGUUAUAGUUGUCUUUCUUUAGGUUUUUGUUUCUGGGGAUUUUAUGAUAUCCGCCAGCAUCUCUAACAAAACUUGUGUUCUAACUUUUAACUAGACCCUGACCCGCGAGCGAGCGCAGAUAAGAAUUUUCAGUUUUGGUUAUUUAUUUAACUAAAUUAUGUU